rnacentral:lncRNA from 1 species
AUUAGCUCAAAUGGUAGAGCGCUCGCUUAGCAUGCGAGAGGUAGCGGGAUCGAUGCCCGCAUUCUCCAGUUUUAUGUGGUUUCCUCUCCCACCUUACCCUUUGGCCUUUACUCCUAUCUUUCCAUGAAUAUCUUGCUGACACAUAAGCAGCUAACAACACACUCCCGUAUCAUAAUGGGGGUGGUCUUUCCUUCAAGCUCAAGAUUCUCUCACCACCCAUGAAAAC